CGUGCGCAGGCGGUUAUGUAAGACAGAUGUGAAAUACCCCCGGGCCGUCAACCUGGGAACUGCAUUAGUGACUGCAUAGCUGGAGUACGGCAGAGGGGGAUGGAAUUCCGCGUGUAGCAGUGAAAUGCGUAGAUAUGCGGAGGAACACCGAUGGCGAAGGCAAUCCCCUGGGCCUGUACUGACGCUCAUGCACGAAAGCGUGGGGAGCAAACAGGAUUAGAUACCCCAGU
rnacentral:rRNA from 1 species